CAGAUCACUUGAGGUCAGGAGUUCAAAACCAGCCUGGCCAUCAUGGUGAAACCCCGUCUCUACUAAAAAUACAAGAAAUUAGCCGGGCGUGGUGGCGGGCACCUGUCAUCCCAGCUACUCGGGGGGCUGAGGCAGGAGAAUCGCCCCAACCCAGGAGGUGGAGGUUGCCGUGAGCCGAGAUCGCGCCACUGCACUCCAGCCUGGGUGACCGAGCGAGACUCUGUCUCCAAAAAAAAUAAAAAAAAGAUUUGUGUGUAUCUCUUCUAACUGCAACCUGUCACCAUUUUAGAUCCAAAUGCACCAAUCAGGAACCUAAGGAUUAAAGAAAAGGCUCAGCAGUUGAUCUGGGACCUGAACAGAAACGUGACCGACGUGGAGUGUAUCAAAGGCACCGACUAUUCUAUGCCGGCAAUGAACAACAGCUAUUGCCAGUUCGGAGCCAUUUCCUUAUGUGAAGUGACCAACUACACCGUCCGAGUGGCCAGUCCCCCGUUCUCCACGUGGAUCCUCUUCCCUGAGAACAGUGAGAAAAAUGUUCAUUGUGUGUCUGUUCUUUCCGUCUGUUCCCUCCCUCUCUCCCUCCCUGUGUCUGUCUUGU
rnacentral:lncRNA from 10 species